rnacentral:rRNA from 1 species
UUUUACUAUGGAGAGUUUGAUCCUGGCUCAGGAUGAACGCUAGCGGCAGGCCUAAUACAUGCAAGUCGAACGGGAUCCAU